rnacentral:rRNA from 1 species
GAUGAACGCUAGCUACAGGCUUAACACAUGCAAGUCGAGGGGCAGCAGGGAUUUAGCUUGCUAAAUCCGCUGGCGACCGGCGCACGGGUGCGUAACGCGUAUCCAACUUUCCCGUUACUCAGGGAUAGCCUUCCGAAAGGGAGAUUAAUACCUGAUGGUGUUUGAAAUUCGCAUGUUCUUCAAACUAAAGAUUUAUCGGUAACGGAUAGGGAUGCGUGACAUUAGAUAGUAGGCGGGGUAACGGCCCACCUAGUCUACGAUGUCUAGGGGUUCUGAGAGGAAGGUCCCCCACACUGGAACUGAGACACGGUCCAGACUCCUACGGGAGGCAGCAGUGAGGAAUAUUGGUCAAUGGUCGGAAGACUGAACCAGCCAAGUAGCGUGAAGGAUGAAGGUUCUAUGGAUUGUAAACUUCUUUUAUACGGGAAUAAAACAUCCCACGUGUGGGAUCUUGUAUGUACCGUAUGAAUAAGCAUCGGCUAACUCCGUGACAGCAGCCGCAGUAAUAC